rnacentral:lncRNA from 1 species
UUCCCUGUUCUUCCCUCAAUUCAAUCUCCCGGUUCAGGCAAAAUCCCUAAGAAUUCUCCCGCAAUAAUUGUUCCAGCAACAACUUCCCUACUACAUUCAUGGAGAUGGAAUCAACUACGGUCAAUUGCGCACAGACCCCAACUCCAACCGCUCCCACCAAAUCAGCAUCACGAUUAGCUCGAACCACCCCCUGUUCGCUCGCAGGCAAAGAGCCACCGCCUCAUCUAUCUCUUGAUCUCGUCGUCUCACCGUCGCCUAAGAAGCCUCCUCCUUACACGUCACCAGCGGGUUCUCUCCCUCUCCGUGAGCUUCUACUUCUUUCUCCGU